GGGGGGGGGGCGGGGGUCGAGCGAUUCACUGUUAAAUACGCUAAUGUAAUUAGUGGGCUAAAGUCAGUCACACCCCGACUUUCUUACAAAUAACGCACAUUUCAAUAAUGAUAAAUGCAAGCCUAUAGUUCCUGCACAUUUUUGUUUUUUAUGAAUUGUGUGAAAUGGCCAAUAAAAAUUGGUAAUACAAAACGAUUAUGUGUCACGUGUCAGGUUAAUUGGUUUAGUCUUGACUUCUGGUCGUGACUGACAGUGUUGUGGGGAUGGGAAAUCUGUUGCUUGUCGAGUCAGAGGCAAAUAAAAACAGAGAUGGACAGAAAAAGGUUAAAAUCAUUAGGUUCCCACUACAGAAAGAAAAGAAAAGAAGAGGAGGAGAAACGAGCAAAAGAUGGAGGGUCACUUUUAAAAUAUUUUGGAGCAUCCUCUGCUACUGGUCAGGAGGAGCCACCUACCUCCCCUGCUACACAUGACUCUGCUGGAAUUGUCUCAGAGCCUCAGGAUGAGGACCAGCCAUCUACUCAUCAGCUACACAGGCCUCUUCUUGAAUGGUCCUUCAGGAUGAGCUGCCAUCAAUCUCCUCAGCUACACAAAUAUCUGAUAUUGAAGAUGAAGACCUCUUUGCCUGUACUUUUCCCCAGCAUGAGCCUUCAGAAAUGCAUGGAGCUGAACCCCCACUGAGCCCCACUGUUGAGGAUGAGCCUCUCUCAACCGACCCUGCUAACUGGCCCUCACAUCUGACUGACAGUAUUCGGACUGAGCUGGUUCGCAGAGGACCAAGUAAGGUUCCACCUGGCUUUGUUUUCUGUAGAAAUGAGAGUGA